rfam:Gossypium hirsutum cultivar TM-1 chromosome 20, whole genome shotgun sequence
UGUUAAAAAUUUCAUCCAUUUGUACUAUUAAAAACUAGCAUGGCUAAUAAAAUAACCAGGCAAUUACACGUGUACCUCAUGCUAGCGUAUAAGGACCAGCUUUUAACAGUAGAAAUUGAUGGAAUUUUUAACA